rnacentral:rRNA from 1 species
AAAUUUUUAUUUAUUAAUUUUAUUGUUUUUUAUUUUAUUUUAUUAUAAAUAAUUUUAUUUAAAUUAAUGGUUUUGUAUUUUAUAAAGAUAUACUAAUAUUUAUUAUAGUUAAUUUGUAUUGUAAAAGAAUAUUGAAAUAUUUUGAAAAAUUUUUUAAUAAAAAGAACUUUUAAUUUAAGGUAUCUUGUGUAUCAGAGUUUAUUAAUUGAUAAUUAGUUAUAAUUAAUUUUCUCGAAUUAAAAAGAUUUAAUAAAUUAUUUUAGUUAUUGUGGAAUAAUUAUUAAUAAUAAUUUAUUAGAAAUGAAAUGUUAAUCGUUUUUUAAUAUAUCUAGUUUUUUAAGAAAUUAAUUUAAUUUAGGUAUUUUAUUUUAAUUUUUUAUUUCUUUUUAAAUAAUUAUAAUUAAAUAUUAAUAUUUUAAGGGAUGAGCUUUAAAAUAAAGUUUUAUAAAUAAUUUUAUUAAUUAAUAAUUGUAAGCUUAGAAUUAGUUAUCAAUAGAAAUUAUGUUUUAAUUUAUUUUAAUUUUAAUAUUAUUUAGUAUUUAUUUUAAAGAUUUUAUUAAAUUAUAAAUUUUAAUCUUAUAAAUUUAGAAAUAAUGAUAAAAUUAGUAAAUAAUUUUAAUUAUAUAAAUAUUUUUUUUUAUUGAUUGGUUUUUUUAAUUAAUUCGGCAAAUUUUAUAUUCACCUGUUUAUCAAAAACAUGUCUUUUUAGUAUUUAAUAUAAAGUCUGGCCUGCCCACUGAAUAAUAUUUGAAGGGCCGCAGUAUUUUGACUGUGCAAAGGUAGCAUAAUCAUUAGUCUUUUAAUUGAAGGCUGGUAUGAAUGGUCGGAUGAGAUAUAAGCUGUGUCAAAAAAAUUAUUAUUUGAAUUUAACUUUUUAGUUAAAAGGCUAAAAUAAAUUUAAAAGACGAGAAGACCCUAUAGAGCUUUAUAUAAUAAAUAUUUAAGUUAUUAAGAUUUAUUAAAUUUAAUUUUUAUAUUGUAUUUUGUUGGGGUGACAAUAAAAUUUAUAAAACUUUUAUUUUUAUUUAACAUUAAUUUAUGAUUAUAUGAUCCAAUUUUAUUGAUUAUAAAUUUAAGUUACCUUAGGGAUAACAGCGUAAUUUUUUUUGAGAGUUCUUAUCGACAAAAAAGAUUGCGACCUCGAUGUUGGAUUAAGAGUAAUUUUGGGUGUAGAAGUUCAAAAUUUAAGUCUGUUCGACUUUUAAAUUCUUACAUGAUCUGAGUUCAAACCGGUGUAAGCCAGGUUGGUUUCUAUCUUUGAUUAAAUUAAAUAUUUUAGUACGAAAGGACCAAAUAUUAAAAAAAUUAUUUUUAUUUUAAUAUAAAUUUUAUUAAUUU